rnacentral:siRNA from 1 species
CACAAGAUCAGUCGGUGUCGUCA